GUAGUCAUAUGCUUGUCUCAAAGAUUAAGCCAUGCAUGUCUAAGUAUAAGCAAUUUAUACAGUGAAACUGCGAAUGGCUCAUUAAAUCAGUUAUCGUUUAUUUGAUAGUUCCUUUACUACAUGGUAUAACUGUGGUAAUUCUAGAGCUAAUACAUGCUUAAAAUCUCGACCCUUUGGAAGAGAUGUAUUUAUUAGAUAAAAAAUCAAUGUCUUCGGACUCUUUGAUGAUUCAUAAUAACUUUUCGAAUCGCAUGGCCUUGUGCUGGCGAUGGUUCAUUCAAAUUUCUGCCCUAUCAACUUUCGAUAGUAGGAUAGUGGCCUACCAUGGUUUCAACGGGUAACGGGGAAU
rnacentral:rRNA from 1 species